AUUGAACGCUGGCGGCAGGCCUAACACAUGCAAGUCGAGCGGAUGAGGGGAGCUUGCUCCUGGAUUCAGCGGCGGACGGGUGAGUAAUGCCUAGGAACCUGCCUGGUAGUGGGGGAUAACGUCCGGAAACGGGCGCUAAUACCGCAUACGUCCUGAGGGAGAAAGUGGGGGAUCUUCGGACCUCACGCUAUCAGAUGAGCCUAGGUCGGAUUAGCUAGUUGGUGGGGUAAAGGCCUACCAAGGCGACGAUCCGUAACUGGUCUGAGAGGAUGAUCAGUCACACUGGAACUGAGACACGGUCCAGACUCCUACGGGAGGCAGCAGUGGGGAAUAUUGGACAAUGGGCGAAAGCCUGAUCCAGCCAUGCCGCGUGUGUGAAGAAGGCCUUCGGAUUGUAAAGCACUUUAAGUUGGGAGGAAGGGCAGUAAGUUAAUACCUUGCUGUUUUGACGUUACCAACAGAAUAAGCACCGGCUAACUUCGUG
rnacentral:rRNA from 1 species